UUACGGCCGUAUCACGUUGAAAUACCGGUUCUCGUAUGAUCACCAAAGUUAAGCAACGUCGAGCCUGGUCAGUACAUAGAUAUGACGGCUUGAGAAUACCAGGUGCUGUAAG